rnacentral:rRNA from 1 species
AGGACGAACGCUGGCGGCGCGCCUAAUACAUGCAAGUCGAGCGAGAACCGGGACUUCGGUCCCGGGGACAGCGGCGAACGGGUGCGUAACACGUGAGCAACCUGCCCCGAAGACCGGGACAAGCCGGGGAAACCUGGUCUAAUACCGGAUGCCCUCACCGAAUCGCAUGGUGUGGUGAGGAAAUGGAUUCCGCUUCGGGAUGGGCUCGCGGUCUAUCAGCUUGUUGGUGAGGUAAUGGCCCACCAAGGCGACGACGGAUAGC